AGAGAGAGAGAGAGAGAGAGAGAGAGAGAGAGAGAUUGAUUGAUUCAGACCAGGCUGGAUAAGAAGCGACAGACACAAAUAGGUCUCGGAGACCGAUUGUUUGUAUCUCUAGAGCAGACAGUUUGUAACCUCCACAGGGGGCAGAGGCUAAGGAGGCUGGGGCAGGAUAUUCUUCGCCCAGCAGUUGUGUUAUCUGGCUGGCUUUAAAAUAUUAAGGCUUUCUGGUGUUUCCCAUCCUCGGCGACUUAGGUGGGCAAGAGAAAGAGCACAGCCGCCGGGGCAGUCGUUAGAGGUUUGACAGAGUUAGCCGUGGGAGCUGGGCUGGCUGAGACAGUCGUUGCCAGCACUGGGCAAGGAGCAAGCGUGCCUUUUAAAAUUACAUACAACAGACAGCUCUAACAGAACAUCGCACUUGUCUCCUGACUCCACACUAAACAGAAGUCCCGAGAGCAAGAUGUCCUGCCUCAAAACUCCCACUGAAAAUCAACUGCCUUGAAUCUCUGGAAAGUUCUUGCUGUAUAUCGUACAUAGACACAUAACAAUAAUGAGCAAAGCCUUUCAUCGUGGCCAUUCGGUACCAUGGACCAUUUUAAGAGCUUUCUACGUGUUAACUACUUGAUUAUCACAAGGACCCUGUUAGGUAUGGUUUAUGCCUACAGUCAUUUUAAAGACGGAAAAAACAAAGGCAGAGAAUGGAUGUAGGACCUAAGCAAAUGAUGUGGCUAAGAUCCCAACCUGGCAGCCAGAUCACGCUCACCUCGCUUUACCAGCCGGCCUCUCCAGUCAGGCAAAAGCUGGUGUCUUGGCAGUCAUUGAACAAAGGCAACGGAUAAAAGAAAGCAUUAAACUGUGGGCUCGUUUACAGCUUCAGAGGGGGCUCACAGCUGUAGUCUGUCUUGUGUCUCAUAGGAGACUAUGAAAUUUGAUUUUGAAGAAUGCUGGAACUGUUUAAACCUUGGGGAUCCUUGGAUCUGAAGUAAAUGCACUUUUUUAAAUUGGAAGAUAGACAUGAGUAUUUGGGGACUGAGAAAGGAUGUUAUGGUUAGAUAUAAAAUGUUUCCAAAAAUACUCAUGUUUUGAAGGCCUGGUCCACAGUGCAGUGGGUUUUGGAGGUGGGGGCCUUAAGAAGUGAUGGAAUCUUGAAGUUUUGACAAAGUCAAUGGAUUAAUCCACUGAUAAGCUCAGGUGAUGACCUGGCCAAGAGGCAGAAAAACUAAGGGGCAGAACCUCAUUAAAGGAAGGUCACUAGGAGCAUAGCCCUCUUUAUACCUUGGCUCUGGACCCUUCCUUCAUUCAGUUCCCUGGCUGCUAUGUGUUGAGUAGGUCUCCUCCCCCGUGUCUUUGCAUCAUCACGUCACCACAGGCUAAAAAUCACAAUUACAAACCUAGAGCCUGCUCUCUGUGCACUGAACCAUGAGGCAAAUAAACCUUUCUACCUUCGAAUUGUUCUUCUCAGCAAUGAAAAACUGACUAGCAUACCCUUGUCACCCAAUGACUCCAUUCAUCUCCUUCUAUGUUCUUAUCUGGGUAUCUCUGGUGUUUGUUGUAUUUUUAUAUUUCAUAACAGACAUAGUCUAAAAAAUAAACUUUGAUUCAUAUUAAUAUUUUAUAAUUGAAAUGAAAAUAAAAUUGCAAAAAAGGAGAGAAAAUUGACCCACUACAGACUUGAUACAAUCAUUCUACAGUCAAUCAACUAAGGCAAAAUGAUUUGUAAGAACUGAAGAAAUAAAACACCUAAGCAAGAAACACAGUAAUGUGGUAGGAUUGCAGAUGGCUUGCGUACAUAGUCAGUUUAAUUCAUAUUUAAUGUUAUCAGUGAGCAGUAACUUACGUGGUAAUGAAUGGGUCUAUUAUAUAUUGGAGUAUGGUCUAGAAGUCUAGAAGUAUCCUUAAAGAUAACCAUUAAAAACCCAGCACACAUUUAUCAUCAAAUGCAAAAAAAAGACCUGGGUGACUGUGGUAGUUUUCAUAUGCUUGGCCAAUGGAAAGUGGCACUCUUAGGAGGUGUGACCUUGUUGGAAUAGGUGUGGCUUUGUUGGGUGAAGUUUGUCACUGUGUAGGUAGGCUUUGAGGUCUCCUCCUAUACUCAAGCUCUCAAGUGAGGAUGAGAAUCUACUGACUGCCUACAAAGGAGAAUCUUCUUCUGACUUCCUUUGGAUCAAGAUCUAGAACACUUGGCUUUUUCUCCAGUACCACAUCUGCCUAGAUACUGCCAUGCUUUAACGCCAUGAUGGUAAUGCACUGAACAUCUGAAACUGUAAGC